rnacentral:miRNA from 2 species
UUAGUCAAAGAUUUUCCCCAUAG